GAUGAACGCUGGCGGCGUGCCUAAUACAUGCAAGUCGAGCGAACAGAUAAGGAGCUUGCUCCUUUGACGUUAGCGGCGGACGGGUGAGUAACACGUGGAUAACCUACCUAUAAGACUGGGAUAACUUCGGGAAACCGGAGCUAAUACCGGAUAACAUAUUGAACCGCAUGGUUCGAUAGUGAAAGGCUGCUUUGCUGUCACUUAUAGAUGGAUCCGCGCCGUAUUAGCUAGUUGGUAAGGUAACGGCUUACCAAGGCAACGAUACGUAGCCGACCUGAGAGGGUGAUCGGCCACACUGGAACUGAGACACGGUCCAGACUCCUACGGGAGGCAGCAGUAGGGAAUCUUCCGCAAUGGGCGAAAGCCUGACGGAGCAACGCCGCGUGAGUGAUGAAGGUCUUCGGAUCGUAAAACUCUGUUAUCAGGGAAGAACAAAUGUGUAAGUAACUGUGCACAUCUUGACGGUACCUGAUCAGAAAGCCACGGCUAACUACGUG
rnacentral:rRNA from 1 species